GGGUGGCGAGUGGCGGACGGGUGAGUAAUGUCUGGGAAACUGCCCGAUGGAGGGGGAUAACUACUGGAAACGGUAGCUAAUACCGCAUAACGUCGCGAGACCAAAGUGGGGGACCUUCGGGCCUCACACCAUCGGAUGUGCCCAGAUGGGAUUAGCUAGUAGGUGGGGUAAUGGCUCACCUAGGCGACGAUCCCUAGCUGGUCUGAGAGGAUGACCAGCCACACUGGAACUGAGACACGGUCCAGACUCC
rnacentral:rRNA from 1 species